AUGCUGGAGUUUUGUGAUCUUACUUCGCUAGAUUCUAAUGAUAGCGAUGAUGAUCUCAUGGUAUUAUCCACUGAAGCACAGACAGAUUCUUCUGAACCAAGUUCUAUUAAACUCACUUGUCAACUGCAAGGGCAUUGGAUGGUAUUUCUUCUUGAUUCUGGUAGUUCCCAUUCCUUCUUGAGCACAAGAGUGGAAUCGUCGGUGGAUGGGCAUGAGCCAUUACGGAACACACAAAAAGUCAGGAUUGCCGGGGGAGGACAUCUGGAAUGUAUGCAACAUAUACCUCGCUGUUCUUGGUCAGCAGCUGGACACACAUUCUAA
rnacentral:rRNA from 1 species